GAGGGGGAUAACGGUUGGAAACGACCGCUAAGACCCCAUAUGCCGAGAGGUGAAACAAAUUUUGCCUGAGGAUGAGCUCGCGUCCGAUUAGCUAGUUGGUGUGGUAAGAGCGCACCAAGGCGACGAUCGGUAGCUGGUCUGAGAGGAUGAUCAGCCACACUGGGACUGAGACACGGCCCAGACUCCUACGGGAGGCAGCAGUGGGGAAUUUUCCGCAAUGGGCGAAAGCCUGACGGAGCAAGACCGCGUGAGGGAAGAAGGUCUGUGGAUUGUAAACCUCUUUUGACAGGGAAGAAGUUCUGACGGUACCUGUCGAAUCAGCCUCGGCUAACUCCGUGCCAGCAGCCGCGGUAAUACGGAGGAGGCAAGCGUUAUCCGGAAUUAUUGGGCGUAAAGCGUCCGUAGGUGGAUGUUCAAGUCAGUUGUUAAAGCGCAGGGCUUAACCCUGUAACGGCAAUUGAAACUGAGCGUCUAGAGUGCGAUAGGGGC
rnacentral:rRNA from 1 species